rnacentral:rRNA from 1 species
UGAGGAAUAUUGGGCAAUGCCCGCAAGGGUGACCCAGCAACGCCGCGUGGAGGAUGAAUGUCGUAAGAUUGUAAACUCCUGUUAGAGGGGAAGAAUAGUACCGGUUGGACCGGUAUAUGACUGUACCCUCAGAGAAAGCCCCGGCUAACUACGUGCCAGCAGCCGCGGUAAUACGUAGGGGGCAAGCGUUGUCCGGAUUUACUGGGUGUAAAGGGCGCGCAGGCGGGAUAAAAAGUCAGUGGUGAAAUCCUACAGCUUAACUGUAGAACUGCCUUUGAUACUUUUAUUCUUGAGUUCGGGAGAGAGAGACGGAAUUCCAGGUGUAGUGGUGAAAUACGUAGAUAUCCGGAAGAACACCAGUUGCGAAGGCGGUCUCUUGGUCCGACACUGACGCUGAGGCGCGAAAGCGUGGGGAGCAAACA